rnacentral:lncRNA from 1 species
GAGAAUAUGCCGAUUUAAUAAAGUACGUAUAAGUUGAUUAUAUUUCAAGCAUUCAUGAUCUUCGUAAUACUAGGUAAUGUCAUAGUAACUCAUAGCAGUAAAAAGAAACUGGACUGAUUAUGAACAAUUCAAAAAAUUGAUCACGAAAUCUUAUUAUCCACAGUUCCCCCAUUCAAAAUGGCAUCAAAAUCACAUGUAGCAUUCAUCAAUUGAAUUUGUCAACACCCCAAAACUAUAGAAAUUCCUCCACUGUACUCUGAGAAUCCAAGUAUCUAAAAUGCCGAUUUGUGCAAGCUAAACGAUUCACAAGAGAAAAAAACUACAUCAACAGAUUCACAAUCCUAAAAGAUUGUCUAACCAUAGCUCCCCCUGAAACCUUUCAUUACAGAACCUCUCUGUUUUCCGUCAUCCUUCUAAGCAAAAUGCUUGAACCUUGUUGCAAGAAGAGUCCAGUAACGCAAUACCAAGAUUCUCCAUUGAAUUAGGCUUCCCAUGAUUCCUCACUGCUCCAUUAUGCCGUCCAUGACUUCCACCUCCAGCAGCUCCCGCCGCUAACAACGGAAUCUUCCCGCCGCCUCUUCCGCUUCCGCCGCCGUAUUAGUGCCCCCCCCCGCCCUUACCACCCGCCACCCACCCGCCCUUCCUCCUCCGUGGCUGCCUCCUCCACCAUGGCCACCAUGACCACCUCGCUUGCUUACGGAGGAGAUCAGUUCAGUACUCUUGAUGGAUGGCAAUGACAAGGGCAGCAACUUUUCUGCGAAGGAAAGAAGAAGAAAGAAAAUGUGAAGCUUCGUCACGCACGGAAGGUGUUUGUGGAAAUGCCUAACAGAGGAAACUGAACAAGAACCUGGAGUUUGAAGCAUUGACGGCUUGAUGAUGGGUGGUCGCGAAACACAAAAAUAGAUCAAGGGGGAAGAGGAAUUACGAUCGGUGGUUUACGAGUGUUUACCUUUGUGGGCGAGAUCGCGCUGGAAACUUGGAGAGGGAGCAAGAAGCAGAGACAGAAGAAGGAGAAGAUACCAAGAAUUGGACGUAAUAAUCCUCAUCGUUCUGAAAAUCGAAGCUGGUGAAUUCUGUGAUCAAGGAUUUAUGGUUGGUGGGUGAGGAAAGAUCGUCACUUGAUGGUGGGAAUCAAAAGGGGAUUUCGGGAUUGGCAGCUUGCGGAUGAAUCGAUGAAGGAAGGGCUCUGCUUUUGCCACCGAUGAAUUUGGCGAAUUGCGGGGAAAUUAUUGUUUAUGAAAGAAAUCUUCGAAAGUCUACUCCGGAAAUAUAUAAAACAGAAGAAUUUGGCGGUUACGAGUUAAAUUAAUCGAAUUACAAAUUA